rnacentral:lncRNA from 1 species
AUUGGAGCAAACGUACGGUAAAUUUCCACCCUCGCGGGUUUAUAAUAGGCAUAAAACAAGAGAACUUGCGCAGCGGAGCAGGCUACGUCACUUAGGUAGCCCUACUUUACAAUGUGUACAGCGAUCAUUCGCACUCUCUGAAGAGCCCUGCGCUUGCGAAGAAACUACUUCCUUGCUCCCAAUGCUCAAUACUGCGCUUUUAAUAAACAACGAUUCAUACCGUACUAUGUAAUGACAGGAAUUAGUCAUUGUUAAG